GACGCGGGGCAGGGGCCAGUGCCUGUUGCCCGACCGAGCAGAGGCAGGCGUCGAUGUGAUCUCUUGGAGUAGGCGGACCGAACCGAGUAGUUGGGAAGAAGGUCUUUGCGAGGAGGCGGAGCAGAGGCGGGCCAGGAAACCGGCCCCACGCUCGCCCGGGUUGCCCCGUGCCAGAGCCAGGAGGGCGCUGGGCUUGAUGGCGCUAUAGACUCCCAAGACUGCGGACCCAUGUACCUGCGGACGUGAUCCCUGGGGCUGACAGCUGCUAUCCAGCAACCACCAAGGGGGAUGUCCCACGAGGUCAACGACCCCUGGAUUGGGUAAGCCCAAAAACUGGGGAGUCACCAAAGUCUGCCAGAGAGGGAUAAAAGGCAGGGAAGAAUGACUCCCGAUGGCACCCUCUCUGACCUGACCAGCACCCUGCCUGCCCAGCCAGCGACCCCUUCUGAAGCAACACUGCACUGAAAGAAGCCUUGACUGGCCAUUGACGGUGGAUUCCAACACUUGGGGAUAGGUAUAUCAUGACAUCAGUGCUUAGUGUUCAUAGCUAGCUACUCUGAGUGUGUGCGCGUGAACAUGUGUGUUUGAGGGGAACAGCACGAAGGUUUACAAUCUGACGUUUGCAUCAGUCUAAUAAACUAGAAUUUUAUGAUGA